rnacentral:rRNA from 1 species
UUAAAAGGUUAGCGGCGGACGGGUGAGUAACACGUGGGCAACCUGCCUGUAAGAUCGGGAUAACGCCGGNGAAACCGGGGCUAAUACCGGAUAGUUUUUUCCUCCGCAUGGAGGCAAAAAGGAAAGACGGCUUCGGCUGUCACUUACAGAUGGGCCCGCGGCGCAUUAGCUUGUUGGUGGGGUAACGGCUCACCAAGGCAACGAUGCGUAGCCGACCUGAGAGGGUGAUCGGCCACAUUGGGACUGAGACACGGCCCAAACUCCUACGGGAGGCAGCAGUAGGGAAUCUUCCGCUAAUGGACGAAAGUACUGACGGAGCAACGCCGCGUGAGUGAAGAAGGCCUUCGGGUCGUAAAACUCUGUUGCCGGGGAAGAACAAGUGCCGUUCGUAACAGGGCGGCGCCUUGACGGUACCCGGCCAGAAA